rnacentral:rRNA from 1 species
GACGAACGCUGGCGGCGUGCUUAACACAUGCAAGUCGAACGGUAAGGCCCUUCGGGGUACACGAGUGGCGAACGGGUGAGUAACACGUGGGUGAUCUGCCCUGCACUUCGGGAUAAGCCUGGGAAACUGGGUCUAAUACCGGAUAGGACCCUGGGAUGCAUGUCCUGGGGUGGAAAGCUUUUGCGGUGUGGGAUGGGCCCGCGGCCUAUCAGCUUGUUGGUGGGGUGAUGGCCUACCAAGGCGACGACGGGUAGCCGGCCUGAGAGGGUGACCGGCCACACUGGGACUGAGGUACGGCCCAGACUCCUACGGGAGGCAGCAGUGGGGAAUAUUGCACAAUGGGCGCAAGCCUGAUGCAGCGACGCCGCGUGAGGGAUGACGGCCUUCGGGUUGUAAACCUCUUUCAGCACCGACGAAGCGCAAGUGACGGUAGGUGCAGAAGAAGGACCGGCCAACUACGUGCCAGCAGCCGCAGUAA